UUUAAGUGCAACCAUAAGUUUCUGUGCCUAUCUUUAAUCGUCUGUCUUAUUUGAAUUUUUUUAUAAUUAGUAUUUUUGUUGUUAUGAGAUGAUAAACAUGAAUAAUACUUUAUACGUGACUUAUGUUUUUAAAAUUUUACACAAAAUUUUUAAAUAAGACGGACGGUUAAAGUUACGCACGAAAAAUCAUUGCUGCACUUAAA
rfam:Oryza glumipatula chromosome 7, whole genome shotgun sequence.